rnacentral:lncRNA from 1 species
AGUCAUUGGUGUAGUUAGAGUUUUACCGAGCAAGUUGGGAUCAAAGUUGGGAAUUAGUUGACUGAAUUGUUUCAACAAAAUUUCCCUCUCUGCUCUGACUGCCUCCAAAACACUUUGCUUUGCCCUGGCCUCCAUCUUUUUGGUUUCCUCUCUCACUGCUUCCAUAAUACUUUCCUUCAAUUUGUCAGCAAAUUUUACUCUCUGCUGUCUCGGCAAAUUGAAGAAUUGAGUUAGGGAAACCCCAGCUCCAAACCUCUGACCCUCCCACCAUGCUCAGGG